UGGGGAAUAUUGCACAAUGGGCGCAAGCCUGAUGCAGCCAUGCCGCGUGUAUGAAGAAGGCCUUCGGGUUGUAAAGUACUUUCAGUCGGGAGGAAGGUGGUAAGGUUAAUAACCUUAUCAAUUGACGUUACCGACAGAAGAAGCACCGGCUAACUCCGUGCCAGCAGCCGCGGUAAUACGGAGGGUGCAAGCGUUAAUCGGAAUUACUGGGCGUAAAGCGCACGCAGGCGGUUGAUUGAGUCAGAUGUGAAAUCCCCGGGCUUAACCCGGGAAUUGCAUCUGAUACUGGUCAGCUAGAGUCUCGUAGAGGGGGGUAGAAUUCCAGGUGUAGCGGUGAAAUGCGUAGAGGUCUGGAGGAAUACCGGUGGCGAAGGCGGCCCCCUGGACGAAGACUGACGCUCAGGUGCGAAAGCGUGGGGAGCAAACAGG
rnacentral:rRNA from 1 species